rnacentral:rRNA from 1 species
UACGUAGGGAGCAAGCGUUGUCCAGAAUCAUUGGGCGUAAAGCGCGCGUAGGCGGCCUUGUAAGUCCGUUGUGAAAGUCAAAGGCUCAACCUUUGAAAGCCGAUGGAUACUGCAAGGCUGGAGUCCGGAAGAGGCGAGUGGAAUUCCUGGUGUAGCGGUGGAAUGCGCAGAUAUCAGGAGGAACACCAAUAGCGAAGGCAGCUCGCUGGGACGGUACUGACGCUAAGGCGUGAAAGCGUGGGGAGCGAACAGG